ACGAACGCUGGCGGCGUGCCUAAUACAUGCAAGUUGAGCGCUGAAGGUUGGUACUUGUACCAACUGGAUGAGCAGCGAACGGGUGAGUAACGCGUGGGGAAUCUGCCUUUGAGCGGGGGACAACAUUUGGAAACGAAUGCUAAUACCGCAUAAAAACUUUAAACACAAGUUUUAAGUUUGAAAGAUGCAAUUGCAUCACUCAAAGAUGAUCCCGCGUUGUAUUAGCUAGUUGGUGAGGUAAAGGCUCACCAAGGCGAUGAUACAUAGCCGACCUGAGAGGGUGAUCGGCCAAAUUGGGACUGAGACACGGCCCAAACUCCUACGGGAGGCAGCAGUAGGGAAUCUUCGGCAAUGGACGAAAGUCUGACCGAGCAACGCCGCGUGAGUGAAGAAGGUUUUCGGAUCGUAAAACUCUGUUGGUAGAGAAGAACGUUGGUGAGAGUGGAAAGCUCAUCAAGUGACGGUAACUACCCAGAAAGGGACGGCUAACUACGUG
rnacentral:rRNA from 1 species